GCUUAACCGUAAAAUUGCAGUUGAUACUGUAUGUCUUGAGUGUACAAGAGGUGGGCGGAAUUCGUGGUGUAGCGGUGAAAUGCUUAGAUAUCACGAAGAACUCCGAUUGCGAAGGCAGCUCACUAGGGUACAACUGACACUGAGGCUCGAAAGUGUGGGUAUCAAACAGGAUUAGAUACCCUGGUAGUCCACACAGUAAACGAUGAAUACUCGCUGUUUGCGAUAUACAGUAAGCGGCCAAGCGAAAGCAUUAAGUAUUCCACCUGGGGAGUACGCCGGCAACGGUGAAACUCAAAGGAAUUGACGGGGGCCCGCACAAGCGGAGGAACAUGUGGUUUAAUUCGAUGAUACGCGAGGAACCUUACCCAGGCUUAAAUUGCAGUGGAAUAUGGAUGAAAGUUCAUAGCCUUCGGGCCGCUGUGAAGGUGCUGCAUGGUUGUCGUCAGCUCGUGCCGUGAGGUGUCGGCUUAAGUGCCAUAACGAGCGCAACCCUUAUCUUUAGUUACUAACAGGUUAUGCUGAGGACUCUAAAGAGACUGCCGUCGUAAGAUGCGAGGAAGGUGGGGAUGACGUCAAAUCAGCACGGCCCUUACGUCUGGGGCUACACACGUGUUACAAUGGGGGGUACAGAA
rnacentral:rRNA from 1 species